UAUACAAUAGGAAAUACAAACUUAAUUAUUAACACAACAGUUUUUCAGAAUAUAACAUUUUUUCCACCAACAAUUUUUAAUUUUAUUUUAAAUAACUGGUCAAGAGAAACACAAAUAUAUAUCCUAAUUACCCCCUUAUCACUACAAAUGACAUAAAUGUCUUCUUAUUGGUCAUUUGGACCUCCUUAGUGGUCCUUAGUGGUCAUUUGGACCUCCUUAGUGGUCCUUAGUGGUCCUUAGCGGUCCUUAGUGGUCCUUAGCGGUCCUUAGUGGUCCUUAGUGGUAUUUAGUAGGACCGGAAUAUUCCUGCCAAAAGACAGCAGAAGGGGGACUAACUGAUGUAUGGAUUUUGACACCAGAUUUUACCCUGCACGAGCAGCCCAACUUGAGUAGAUCAGGAGUGGGAAAACCGAGCCCUGUCCUUGACCAAGGAAAGUUGGAUUUGUUGAGAGGACCUGAUCUCAAAUGAGAUCAUGCACAAGACGCACCUCGCAAAGGCCAUGACAGUAUAGUUUUCAGACCUGAUCAGCUGGUGACUGCUCUAUGAAGUGCUGUUCAACCUCCCCUAAGGGGGAGAUUCGAGAGGGUCUCCUGAUUGCUGAUAACUACGCCAUGUUGUCAUCUCCAAAAAGUUUGCCCUGCCCAUAUCAACAGUGGAAGAGAACAUGAGAUGGGCCUUGAGGAGGCUUCGUGUCAUGUACUGCGGGGAGAAUAUAUAAACUGUUUAGUGCUGAGCAAUAUGUUCCUUUGUUCAUAGGUGUAAAUAUGUGUAAAGGGCUAUUCCAGGAAAAGAUAGGAUGAAGGAUUCCUUAAUGUUGUCAUUUUAUAAAUCCGGUACCACCAACACAGUUAAAAACAAUUAUUAUUAAUUUUAUCCUCUGUAUCACCCCUCACUAACUGAAACUGUAUAUAAUCAUGGUUCAUACCCUUCCUCCCAUUUUUACCUGUGGUAGCCCAAAGAGGAGAAUGUUAUUUAUUUUAAUUUAUUAUGUUAAAUGUGCUCGCAUAUUGUGAUAAUGUAUCUUGGGUAGAUGUUUUCCUGGUUUUGUUAAAAAUGCACUGUAAAAAUGUUCACAUUAUUUGUUUUUUUAAUAUAAACAUUGUUUUUUGCAAAUUG